rnacentral:ncRNA from 1 species
AACAUAUUUGGUUUUGGUUUAAAAUUUUAUGGUAUUAUUAAAUUUGCAUGAAAAUUGUUGUAAGUGAUAGAAUUAAGUUUUAUGCUAAUUCUAAAUUAAAGUAAGUAUAAUGAUAAUUUUUAUAAUCUCAGCAUAAAGUAUUAAAAAUUAAUGUACAAGUGUAUGAAUUAGUAAUAAUAGUAAACCUGAUAAAUAUUUGUGCCAGCAUUCGCGGUUAUACUUUAGGGUUAAGUAAAAUUGUUAUGUUAGUUAGUUAGAUGGAGAAUUUAUGAGCUAUAUAUUUAUAAUAAAAGGUAAAAUUAAAUUGUUGUAAGGUAAGCAUAUUAAAUUUUAAUUGAAGCUAAGAAAUUCUAAUUAUAAACUAGGAUUAGAUACCCUAUUAUUUUAGAAGGAUCUAGAAAAGACUAAUUAGUAAGAGAUAAAUACUUUAAAAUUAAAAAAUUUGGCGGUGAUUUAAUCUUAUUAGAGGAAUUUGUUUCUUAAUCGAUAAACCACGAAGAAUUUUACUUACUUUUGUUAAUCAGUCUGUAUACCGUCAUUACCAGGUAAUUCUCAAAGGAUAAAAUUUCUGAAAUUAAUUCUUUAGUAAAAUUAGAUCAAGGUGCAGCUUAUAAGUAAGUUGAAAUGAAUUACAAUAAAUUAUUUUAAACGGAAUUAGAAAUGAAAUUUUCUGAUGAAGGAGGAUUUAAUUGUAUUAUAAGUUUAAUAAGCUAAUGAGAAAUAAGCUCUAAAUUGUGUACAUAUCGCCCGUCGCUUCCUUUUAUAGAGGGAAUAAGUCGUAACAUAGUAGAUAUACUGGAAAGUGUAUCUAGAAAUAAU